rnacentral:lncRNA from 10 species
UCUCUGUCCACGAGAGAUAGUAACCUCUACUUUUCAUUUUUGUAAUGCUUUUGUCAGGUUGUAUAUCAGAAUUAUGCUAUCCUUCUCUAGUGAGUUAGAGUGUGUUCCUUUUUUCUUUCUUCACUGGAAGAGUUUGUGUAAGAUUGGUUAUUUUCUUUCUUAAAUGUAUGUUUUGAAGAACUUGCAAGUGAAGUCAUCUGGGCCUGGAAUGUUUUGGCUAGGAAAGGCAUCUGGGAAUCUUGAUGUUUACUUUCUCUUUGUAUUUUUUUUUCCUUAAGAUGUUUGCAGUGGUCCAGAAGAAGGAGAUUUCCUGUGAGAUCUUUUCCAAUCACUUCAAGGAGAAUAAGAGACAGCAUCUCACUCGGUGGCCCAGGAUGGAGUAAAUUGGCACAAUUAUGGCUCACUGCAGCCUAGGUCUCCUGGGUACAAGCAAACCUCUCACCUCAGCCUCCCGGGUAGCUGGGAGAUUACAGGUGCAUGCCACCACAUCUUUCUAAUUUUUUUUUUUUUUUUGGUAGAGAUGGGGUCUUGCUAUGUUACUCAGGCUGGUCUCAAACUCCUAGCCUCAAGUGAACCUCCUACUUCAGCCUCCCAAAGUGUUGAGAUUACAGGCGUGAGCCACCUUGCCUGGACAAGACACUCUAUUUCUAAC